rnacentral:rRNA from 1 species
CAGUCGCCACGGGAACACGGAGGGGGCUAGCGUUGUUCGGAAUUACUGGGCGUAAAGCGUACGUAGGCGGCUUUGUAAGUUAGAGGUGAAAGCCUGGUGCUCAACACCAGAACUGCCUUUAAGACUGCAUCGCUUGAACGUCGGAGAGGUGAGUGGAAUUCCGAGUGUAGAGGUGAAAUUCGUAGAUAUUCGGAAGAACACCAGUGGCGAAGGCGGCUCACUGGACGACUGUUGACGCUGAGGUACGAAAGCGUGGGGAGCAAACAGGAUUAGAGACCCCAGUAGUCCCUGUCUCUUAUAC